AAUGAACGUUGGCGGCGUGGAUUAGGCAUGCAAGUCGAGCGGAAAGGCCCCGCAAGGGGCACUCGAGCGGCGAAAGGGAUAGUAACGCGUGGACAACCUGCCCUGGGGACGGGGAUAGCUGGGGGAAACUCCAAUUAAUACCCGAUGACGUCUCCGGACCAAAGGUGUGAUUCCGCCCUGGGAGGGGUCCGCGUCCUAUCAGCUAGUUGGUGAGGUAACGGCUCACCAAGGCAACGACGGGUAGCGGGUGUGAGAGCACGACCCGCAUCACUGGGACUGAGACACUGCCCAGACACCUACGGGUGGCUGCAGUCGAGAAUCUUCGUCAAUGGGCGAAAGCCUGAACGAGCGACGCCGCGUGCGGGAUGAAGGCCUUCGGGUUGUAAACCGCUGUCAGUGGGGAGGAAAUGCCGGAGGGAUCACCCUCCGGUUUGACCGACCCGCAGAGGAAGGACGGGCUAAGUUCGUGCCAGCAGCCGCCGUAAAAC
rnacentral:rRNA from 1 species